rnacentral:rRNA from 1 species
UACGUAGGGUGCAAGCGUUAUCCGGAAUUAUUGGGCGUAAAGAGCUCGUAGGCGGUUUGUCGCGUCUGCUGUGAAAACUGGAGGCUCAACCUCCAGCCUGCAGUGGGUACGGGCAGACUAGAGUGCGGUAGGGGAGAUUGGAAUUCCUGGUGUAGCGGUGGAAUGCGCAGAUAUCAGGAGGAACACCGAUGGCGAAGGCAGAUCUCUGGGCCGUAACUGACGCUAAGGAGCGAAAGCAUGGGGAGCGAACAGGG